CUCUUCCCAUCACCCAUAUCUCUCUCUCUCUCUCCCCUUCACAUGCUCUCUCUCUCUCUCUCUCGCCCAUGCCUUCUCUCUUCCUCCCUUCUUCUUCUUUUCUUUUAAUUUUUUCUACUUCUUCUCUUCUCGUGCUUGUCGUUAUCACCAUCUCCUCUUCCUCCUCAAUUCAGGUAAGCCCUAAAUCUAAUUUUUUUUCUAAUCCUUGCUGUAAAAUACUAUUUAAAAGAGGAAUUCAACCCUCCUUGAUAUUAUGCUGCCCAAUAAAGGAUGGCAUGGCCAUCUCUUGGUUCUCUAGAAGAAGAACAACUCUUCUUUCUCUUCUUUGUCUCUCUUGACAGUAACCUAGCCCUUUAUUUCUUUCCAUCAUGAGCAGAACAAGAUUCUUUCUAUAUCUA
rnacentral:lncRNA from 1 species